CAAUGAUAGAAGGUUCAAGUAUAACUCAGUUUUUUGGUAAGUAUUUUCAUAUAAAAAAUGUGCGACACUAGCAAAGCAUAUUUGUUUAGUUUUAUAUACUUUUAUUUUACUAUAAAGUAAUAUAAAGCAGUAUAAAUUAGAUUGUUGAUUUAAAACGUGUUAUGCACAUACACAUAUAUAUAUAUAUAUAUAUAUAUAUACACGUUUACACGCGUGUAUACAUUUACUCAUGGUUAACUUUUAUUUUUGUUUUUUUUUUUUUUUUUUAUACGCAGUUUCAAACUUACCAAUUGACGUUACUGAAUGCGAAUUAAAAGAAUUUUUUGGUGCCACUCUCAAUCUUACGUAUAGCAGGUAAAACAAAGCGAAAAAAAAAAAAAAAAAAAAAAAAAAAAUAUAUAUAUAUAUAUAUAUAUAUAUCACGCAUGUUCUAUUAUGUUAUUUUUUUUACAUCGACAUUUUGAUCGAUUGACGGUUUUAUAGACUAAUAAAAACUAAAGUAGGAAUAAGAAGUUGCCAUGGUUAUCUGCACUUCAAAAAUAACAAAGAAGAUGUACUUUUCUUUGUUAAAAGUAAUAAAUAUAAAAAUAAAAACUUGUAUAUCGAGUUAAUUGAAGAUGAGGGAGAGGAUGAUACAGGUUGCGAUGGACAACAAAAACUCGAACUCAAUAAAAAAGAAAUAAAAGAUAAGCAUAAUAUAUAUAGAAGUAGCAGUAGUAGUAAUAGUAUAAAUGAGUUAAUAACAAAAACGUGUAUAAAUUUAGAUAAUAACAAAAACAGUCGGAAUAUGUGUAGUAACAUCAGUAGUAACAUUAAUAAUAAUAAUAAUAUUUUUGAACACAAUUUAAAAAAAAAAUAUAUUUUACAUAAUAUUAAUGAUAAAAACAUACCUAUUGAAAUAAUAAAUAAAAAUGGAAACAUAACAAACUAUGGACAUAAAAUAUUAAAAAACAUGAACAUGUAUGAUAUUGUUCUCUUGAUAUAUAAAUUACAAGAUUUAGUUCGUGCUUCACCUCAAACCGCUAUUGAUAUGUUGAAUGAAAAUAAACAUAUUUAUUACUCUCUUGUUCAUGCUCUUUUUCUUUUGGGUAUUAUAAACAUUAACAUUAGCCCUUUAAGUGACGAAGAAAUUAAGUUAAGUCACUUUUACGAAAUGAAAAGCGCUUUUCAGUAUUUGUUUUUAGAUAGUGACAAUAAUAAUACUGACAAUAACAAUAUUAUAAUAGGAGAUUACAAAUUUAAAAAUGUGGUAGUAGAAUCGAUAAACAAGCUAGGGGUGGACGGAUCGGGAGAGAACAAAAUAAAACAAAGAGUAGAACUUAAACAGGAUGGAACUGUUUUUAAUCCUAAUAAUGCUCAGCCUGGAUUUAAUAAUCACUUAGAUUUUUAUAAGAACAGAAACAAAAAUAAAAAUAAAAAAAGAAGUAGUGACAUAAAAUUUAUAAGUGAUCGUGGAAUGACAUACAUGCGAGAUAGAAAAAGAAAAGUGACUAAAGACAAUAAUAGAAGUGUAGAAACUGUAGAUAUAGAUGCAACCAAAGGUAUAGUAUAUUCUAAUAAUAGUAGUAUAUAUAUGAAGAAGAUAGGUGAUAAUAAUAGUAGUAGCCACUUUAGUAUUCAUAGUAGUAGUAUUGUUAAUUCAAGUAGUAAUAUUAAAUAUGGUAAUAAAAAAAGUAAUAAUAAUAAUAAUAAUAAUAAUAAUAAUAGUAAUAAUAAAAUAGGCCAUAAAACAGGUAAUAAACACAAAGUGGGUAACAGCAAAAUGGGCAAUAAUAAUUUGCACUUAACAAGAUAUAAAAACAUACAAAAAAAUAAUUAUUCAAUAAACAGAAAUAUUAAUUACAGUAAUAAUACUUUUAAUAACCGUGGGAAGGAGUUAUAUUUAUAUAACAAUAAUGCUUAUAUUCAUAAAAAUAAAUUGAAGGCUAAAUAUAAGGAUAAUAAGUAUUGUAUGGAUGAUGAAAAUAAUAAUAUUAACAAUACGAACGAUGGUAAUAUUAACAGCAACCAUAUUAACAGUACGCAUGACAAUAAUGAUAACGUGUUAAGAAAUACAAACUAUAUAUAUAAUUCAAAUAUUAACUCAUACUUUGUUACCGAUAAUAGUAAUGAAAAUAAUGUGAGCAACUUCAGCAUGAACAAUAAUAUGGAUAAUAAUAGUGACAAUAAUAAAACCAUUAACAAUAGUAGCAAUAAUAACAGUGAUGCAUUAUUCAGGCACCCCCAAAAUAGCAAUGUUUAUAUAAAUAAAAAUAGAAAUUAUAAUAAACCCUUUUCGCUUUAUACUAUGCAAUCCAAUAAAAAUAGAAACAAUAGUAGUAACAAUAAAAAUAACAACAUGGGAAACGACAAAAACGACAAAGGAAACGACCAUACCUUACCUUCUAACGUUUUAUCCAAUGAUGACCUUAGUAUGGAUGUAAAUUUGAACAAAACAGUUUCGUCGUAUGACCAAGAAACUACUGCAACAAGUGGUACUAACAUAGAAACAAAUAAAAACAACUUAAAUAUAAAUAAGACAACUGAUAAAAUAUCAACGACAUGGCAUGAAAACAAAAACAAAUGUUAUAGUAACAAAGUAAAUGACGGAAUAGAUUAUGGUAAAAACAUAAAUACGUUAUAUAAACAAGAGUGUUAUAAAAAAAGAAAUUACGAUUGUAUUAAUGAUCAAACUGUUUCUAAUAGUCAUAAUGAUAGUAGCAACAUACGAGUCAAUGCUAACAAUCGAAAAGAAAGAAGCAGUAGCAUUAUUAGUAGUAGUAGUAGUCAUAACAGUUAUAACAAACCGAAUCAAAGUAACAAUAAAAUGCAUCAAAAAAAUGAUAACUUCUUUUCUAGUAAUAACAACAAACAAAUUAUGAAAGAUGGAAAUGAUAAAGAUCAUAUAGAAUACGGGAAAAUGCUAAUAAAAAAAAUAAAAACAAAUAAUAGUAACAAUAGGAGAGAGAUUAAAUUAAUAGAUAGAAAAAAUAAUCAAAAUGCUAAUGGUAAUAAUUUUGUGAUAGUGAAAAAUAUAAAUAUGAAUAAGGAUGGAAAUAAUGGAUGUAACAUUGGUGAUAAUGACACAGAACAAACAAAAAAAAACAAAACACAAAUUGAUAUAAUAGAUACAAAUCUAAAUUUAAUUUUAAAAAAAAUAAACACAAACAUUGAUAAUAUUCCAUAUGCAGAUGAUGAACUAAUAAAAGAAAUAAUAAAUCAAAAACCUAUAUUUCAAAAUAUAAUUAAAAGUAAAUAUUCUGAUAUGUUAACAUGGGACGAAGAUCAAAUACUACGUGUUCUAUCUAUACGGAAGUCAUUGAAAAGCAAGGGUUAUAGUAUUAAUG
rnacentral:lncRNA from 1 species